rnacentral:lncRNA from 1 species
CACUGAUACGGUGAUGUUAAGCUGCUCUGUGGUGACAUAUGAACAGUGUCAUCACACAGUGAAGUGGCUGCUUAAAGGUCGAGAUGUGGACAAAGAUAACAAAGAAAUAGUGACCUCACAGACUCACUGCGCUGCCACUGUGUCUUUUCUUGAGUCUCACUAUAUUUACCCAUCAAGGUAUAAUAUAAUGAAAUGUGAAGUGACUGACACUAACACAAGAAGAGUGCAGCUGUUUACAUUCAGCCUUCAGCCCUCAGGUGAGGAAACAGGUGACACAAAAACAACAACGAAUCCAGCCAGAAAAACUGAAAUAAGCACAAAAUCAGAAACAAACCCAACAAUCAAGAGUCCUUCAAAACCAGCUAUCCAGUGGUUCAUCAUUCCAGCUGUGGGUUUGGUCUCACUCUUGGUAAUUGUUGUGGUUUUCAUCAGAUGGAAGAGAACUAGAGGAAAUAAAACACAGAUGGAUGAAGAUGCUGGACUUAGUUUAAACCCUGCAGAGACUCGGUCUGCUCCUCAAACCAGUCAGCUCUCGGCGGAUCCUGAACCUUCAUAUGCCACCGUCAGCUACACCAAGAACACCAACGGUAACACCAGGAUUUGGGGUGAUGAUGACAAUGAUGCGACCUACUGCACUGCUCCUUUCGCUUCUACUGCAGCCACUGCUGAUCCCGACAACCUCUACUCUACUGUCAACUUUCCAAUCACAUAGCACAAGCAGCUCACAAAAGGACUUGUAUAUAAUGGAAAAUCCUUUUUUUCAAUUUCAAAUGGACCAUGAUGGUAGCAACAUGCUAAUUAGGCAUAAAUUAUUUUUUUAAACCCAUAAAUAGAUAUAUAUCUACUUUUUUAUUGAAAAUAUAAUUGGUGCCUGGAAUACUUUACGUAAGUUAUGAGCUGUAGCAGAUGCUCCAAAGAAGGCUGGCUAGACAGAAAAUAUACCACCAUUACAUCAAACACUGGCAUUCCUGGCAGCUGGACUGCAACAUGACCCACAGCGUUCAAAGUCAUUUAGUGUUGGUGCCUUUUUUGAGAAUUUCUUCUUGUGUUUCUCGUUCCCUCGUGUUCCCUCUGUCUCAUCUAUGUGCUUGUAUCCUCUGUAAUCAUGUUUAGGGUCAGCCAUGUCUUUUCUUUAUUUCCUGUUUUAGUGUUUUUUUUAUGCUUUGCAUUAGUUUUACUUCCUUCUUUGGGAUUUCCUGCGCU